rnacentral:rRNA from 1 species
CCUACGGGAGGCAGCAGUGAGGAAUAUUGGUCAAUGGUCGGGAGACUGAACCAGCCAAGCCGCGUGAGGGAUGAAGGUACAGAGUAUCGUAAACCUCUUUUGUCAGGGAACAAAGGCGGGGACGUGUCCCCGGAUGAGUGUACCUGAAGACAAAGCAUCGGCUAACUCCGUGCCAGCAGCCGCGGUAAUACGGAGGAUGCGAGCGUUAUCCGGUUUUAUUGGGUUUAAGGGGUGCGCAGGCGGUCUGUUAAGUCAGCGGGCAAAGCCCGGGGCUCAACCCCGGCCCGCCGUUGAAACUGGCAGUCUCGAGUUGGAGAGAAGUAUGCGGAAUGCGCGGUGUAGCGGUGAAAUGCAUAGAUAUCGCGCAGAACUCCGAUUGCGAAGGCAGCAUGCUGGCUCCACACUGACGCUGAGGCACGAAAGCGUGGGUAUCGAACAGGAUUAGAUACCCUUGUAGUC